UACGGAGGGUGCAAGCGUUAUCCGGAUUCACUGGGUUUAAAGGGUGCGUAGGUGGGCAGGUAAGUCAGUGGUGAAAUCUCCGGGCUUAACCCGGGAACUGCCGUUGAUACUAUCUGUCUUGAAUAUAGUGGAGGUGAGCGGAAUAUGUCAUGUAGCGGUGAAAUGCUUAGAUAUGACAUAGAACAUCGAUUGCGAAGGCAGCUCGCUACGCUAUUAUUGACACUGAGGCACGAAAGCGUGGGGAUCAAACAGG
rnacentral:rRNA from 1 species